UACGAAGGGGGCUAGCGUUGUUCGGAAUUACUGGGCGUAAAGCGCGCGCAGGCGGCUAUCCAAGUCAGUGGUGAAAGCCCGGAGCUCAACUCCGGAACUGCCAUUGAAACUGUUUAGCUUGAGGAUGAGAGAGGUGAGUGGAAUUCCCAGUGUAGAGGUGAAAUUCGUAGAUAUUCGGAGGAACACCAGUGGCGAAGGCGGCUCACUGGUCCGGUACUGACGCUGAGGUGCGAAAGCGUGGGGAGCAAACAGG
rnacentral:rRNA from 1 species